UACGUAGGGUGCAAGCGUUAAUCGGAAUUACUGGGCGUAAAGCGUGCGCAGGCGGCUUUGCAAGACAGAUGUGAAAUCCCCGGGCUUAACCUGGGAACUGCAUUUGUGACUGCAUGGCUGGAGUGCGGCAGAGGGGGAUGGAAUUCCGCGUGUAGCAGUGAAAUGCGUAGAUAUGCGGAGUAACACCGAUGGCGAAGGCAAUCCCCUGGGCCUGCACUGACGCUCAUGCACGAAAGCGUGGGGAGCAAACAGG
rnacentral:rRNA from 1 species